rnacentral:rRNA from 1 species
AGACCCGAAACCCGGUGAUCUAGCCAUGGGCAGGUUGAAGGUUGGGUAACACUAACUGGAGGACCGAACCGACUAAUGUUGAAAAAUUAGCGGAUGACCUGUGGCUGGGGGUGAAAGGCCAAUCAAACCGGGAGAUAGCUGGUUCUCCCCGAAAGCUAUUUAGGUAGCGCCUCGUGAACUCAUCUCCGGGGGUAGAGCACUGUUUCGGCUAGGGGGCCAUCCCGGCUUACCAACCCGAUGCAAACUGCGAAUACCGGAGAAUGUUAUCACGGGAGACACACGGCGGGUGCUAACGUCCGUCGUGAAGAGGGAAACAACCCAGACCGCCAGCUAAGGUCCCAAAGUCAUGGUUAAGUGGGAAACGAUGUGGGAAGGCCCAGACAGCCAGGAUGUUGGCUUAGAAGCAGCCAUCAUUUAAAGAAAGCGUAAUAGCUCACUGGUCGAGUCGGCCUGCGCGGAAGAUGUAACGGGGCUAAACCAUGCACCGAAGCUGCGGCAGCGACACUUUAGUGUUGUUGGGUAGGGGAGCGUUCUGUAAGCCGUUGAAGGUGUCCUGUGAGGGGUGCUGGAGGUAUCAGAAGUGCGAAUGCUGACAUAAGUAACGAUAAAGCGGGUGAAAAGCCCGCUCGCCGGAAGACCAAGGGUUCCUGUCCAACGUUAAUCGGGGCAGGGUGAGUCGACCCCUAAGGCGAGGCCGAAAGGCGUAGUCGAUGGGAAACGGGUUAAUAUUCCCGUACUUGGUGUUACUGCGAAGGGGGGACGGAGAAGGCUAUGUUGGCCGGGCGACGGUAGUCCCGGUUUAAGCGUGUAGGUGUGUGUUCCAGGCAAAUCCGGUUCACUUUAACACUGAGGCGUGAUGACGAGGCACCACGGUGCUGAAGCAACAAAUGCCCUGCUUCCAGGAAAAGCCUCUAAGCAUCAGGUAACAUCAAAUCGUACCCCAAACCGACACAGGUGGUCAGGUAGAGAAUACCAAGGCGCUUGAGAGAACUCGGGUGAAGGAACUAGGCAAAAUGGUGCCGUAACUUCGGGAGAAGGCACGCUGACACGUAGGUGAAGUGAUUUACUCACGGAGCUGAAGUCAGUCGAAGAUACCAGCUGGCUGCAACUGUUUAUUAAAAACACAGCACUGUGCAAACACGAAAGUGGACGUAUACGGUGUGACGCCUGCCCGGUGCCGGAAGGUUAAUUGAUGGGGUCAGCGCAAGCGAAGCUCCUGAUCGAAGCCCCGGUAAACGGCGGCCGUAACUAUAACGGUCCUAAGGUAGCGAAAUUCCUUGUCGGGUAAGUUCCGACCUGCACGAAUGGCGUAAUGAUGGCCAGGCUGUCUCCACCCGAGACUCAGUGAAAUUGAACUCGCUGUGAAGAUGCAGUGUACCCGCGGCAAGACGGAAAGACCCCGUGAACCUUUACUAUAGCUUGACACUGAACAUUGAGCCUUGAUGUGUAGGAUAGGUGGGAGGCUUUGAAGCGUGGACGCCAGUCUGCGUGGAGCCGACCUUGAAAUACCACCCUUUAAUGUUUGAUGUUCUAACGUGGACCCGUAAUCCGGGUUGCGGACAGUGUCUGGUGGGUAGUUUGACUGGGGCGGUCUCCUCCUAAAGAGUAACGGAGGAGCACGAAGGUUGGCUAAUCCUGGUCGGACAUCAGGAGGUUAGUGCAAUGGCAUAAGCCAGCUUGACUGCGAGCGUGACGGCGCGAGCAGGUGCGAAAGCAGGUCAUAGUGAUCCGGUGGUUCUGAAUGGAAGGGCCAUCGCUCAACGGAUAAAAGGUACUCCGGGGAUAACAGGCUGAUACCGCCCAAGAGUUCAUAUCGACGGCGGUGUUUGGCACCUCGAUGUCGGCUCAUCACAUCCUGGGGCUGAAGUAGGUCCCAAGGGUAUGGCUGUUCGCCAUUUAAAGUGGUACGCGAGCUGGGUUUAGAACGUCGUGAGACAGUUCGGUCCCUAUCUGCCGUGGGCGCUGGAGAAUUGAGGGGGGCUGCUCCUAGUACGAGAGGACCGGAGUGGACGCAUCACUGGUGUUCGGGUUGUCAUGCCAAUGGCACUGCCCGGUAGCUAAAUGCGGAAAAGAUAAGUGCUGAAAGCAUCUAAGCACG